UACGGAGGGUGCAAACGUUGCUCGGAAUCAUUGGGCGUAAAGCGCGUGUAGGCUGCUUUGCAAGUCGGAUGUGAAAGCCCUGGGCUCAACCUAGGAAGUGCACUCGAAACUGCAAAGCUUGAGUCUCGGAGAGGAUCGCGGAAUUCUCGGUGUAGAGGUGAAAUUCGUAGAUAUCGAGAGGAACACCGGUGGCGAAGGCGGCGAUCUGGACGAUGACUGACGCUGAGACGCGAAAGCGUGGGGAGCAAACAGG
rnacentral:rRNA from 1 species